AACGAACGCUGGCGGCAGGCUUAACACAUGCAAGUCGAACGGUUGUAGCAAUACAGCAGUGGCAGACGGGUGAGUAACACGUGGGAACCUUCCUAGGGGUACGGAACAACUCAGGGAGACUUGAGCUAAUACCGUAUACGUCCGUGAGGAGAAAGAUUUAUCGCCCUUAGACGGGCCCGCGUCGGAUUAGCUAGUUGGUGGGGUAACGGCCUACCAAGGCGACGAUCCGUAGCUGAUCUUAGAGGAUGAUCAGCCACACUGGGACUGAGACACGGCUCAGACUCCUACGGGAGGCAGCAGUGGGGAAUCUUGGACAAUGGGCGCAAGCCUGAUCCAGCCAUGCCGCGUGAGUGAAGAAGGUCUUCGGAUUGUAAAGCUCUUUUGCCAGGGACGAUAAUGACGGUACCUGGAGAAUAAGCCCCGGCAAACUUCGUGCCAGCAGCCGCCGCCG
rnacentral:rRNA from 1 species